rnacentral:rRNA from 1 species
GAUGAACGCUGGCGGCGUGCCUAAUACAUGCAAGUCGAGCGAACGGACGAGAAGCUUGCUUCUCUGAUGUUAGCGGCGGACGGGUGAGUAACACGUGGAUAACCUACCUAUAAGACUGGGAUAACUUCGGGAAACCGUAGCUAAUACCGGAUAAUAUUUUGAACCGCAUGGCUCAAAAGUGGAAGACGGUCUUGCUGUCACUUAUAGAUGGAUCCGCGCUGCAUUAGCUAGUUGGUAAGGUAACGGCUUACCAAGGCAACGAUGCAUAGCCGACCUGAGAGGGUGAUCGGCCACACUGGAACUGAGACACGGUCCAGACUCCUACGGGAGGCAGCAGUAGGGAAUCUUCCGCAAUGGGCGAAAGCCUGACGGAGCAACGCCGCGUGAGUGAUGAAGGUCUUCGGAUCGUAAAACUCUGUUAUUAGGGAAGAACAUAUGUGUAAGUAACUGUGCACAUCUUGACGGUACCUAAUCAGAAAGCCACGGCUAACUACGUG